AACGAACGCUGGCGGCAUGCCUAACACAUGCAAGUCGAACGAGACCUUCGGGUCUAGUGGCGAACGGGUGCGUAACGCGUGGGAACCUGCCCUUAGGUUCGGAAUAACUCCCCGAAAGGGGUGCUAAUACCGGAUAAUGUCUUCGGACCAAAGAUUUAUCGCCUUUGGAUGGGCCCGCGUUGGAUUAGCUAGUUGGUAGGGUAAAAGCCUACCAAGGCGACGAUCCAUAGCUGGUCUGAGAGGAUGAUCAGCCACACUGGGACUGAGACACGGCCCCGACUCCUACGGGAAGCAGCAGUGGGGAAUAUUGGAGAAUGGGCGAAAGCCUGAUCCAGCAAUGCCGCGUGAGUGAUGAAGGCCUUAGGGUUGUAAAGCUCUUUUACCCGGGAUGAUAAUGACAGUACCGGGAGAAUAAGCUCCGGCUAACUCCGUG
rnacentral:rRNA from 1 species